AGAUGAUUCCGCCACACUUGGAAUUGAGAACCGCAAACCUACGGAGGCAGCAGUGGGAUUUGGACAAUGGGGCAUCUGAUCAGCCAUGCCGCGUGGAGUGAAGAAGCUUCGGUUGUAAGCUUCUUUCGCUGGAAGAAAUCGCAUCUCUAUACGGGGUGUGGAUGACGGUACCAGCAUAGAAGCACGGCUAACUACGUGCAGCAGCGCGGUAAUACGUAGGGUGCGAGCGUUAAUCGGAAUUACUGGGCGUAAAGCGUGCGCAGGCGGUUUCGUAAGACAGAGGUGAAAUCCCCGGGCUCAACCUGGGAACUGCCUUUGUGACUGCGAGGCUAGAGUAUGGCAGAGGGGGGUGGAAUUCCACGUGUAGCAGUGAAAUGCGUAGAGAUGUGGAGGAACACCGAUGGCGAAGGCAGCCCCCUGGGCCAAUACUGACGCUCAUGCACGAAAGCGUGGGGAGCAAACAGGAUUAGAUACCCUGGUAGUCCACGCCCUAAACGAUGUCAACUAGGUGUUGGGUGGGUUAAACCAUUUAGUACCGUAGCUAACGCGUGAAGUUGACCGCCUGGGGAGUACGGCCGCAAGGUUAAAACUCAAAGGAAUUGACGGGGACCCGCACAAGCGGUGGAUGAUGUGGAUUAAUUCGAUGCAACGCGAAAAACCUUACCUACCC
rnacentral:rRNA from 1 species